rnacentral:rRNA from 1 species
GCUGGAGCAGGUCCCAAGGGUAUGGCUGUUCGCCAUUUAAAGCGGUACGUGAGUUGGGUUCAGAACGUCGUGAGACAGUUCGGUCCCUAUCUGCCGUGGGUGUAGGAAUAUUGACAGGAUCUGUCCCUAGUACGAGAGGACCGGGAUGGACGUAUCUCUGGUGGAUCUGUUGUCCUGCCAAGGGCAUAGCAGAGUAGCUAUAUACGGAAUGGAUAACCGCUGAAGGCAUCUAAGCGGGAAACCAACCUGAAAACGAGUGUUCCCUAUCAGAGCCGUGGAAGACGACCACGUUGAUAGGRCGGGUGUGGAAGCACAGCAAUGUGUGAAGCUUACCGUUACUAAUAGCUCGAUCGACUUCUUCGUUCCCAUU